rnacentral:rRNA from 1 species
AUUGAACGCUGGCGGCAGGCUUAACACAUGCAAGUCGAGCGGAGCCAGGGUGCUUGCACCUUAGCUUAGCGGCGGACGGGUGAGUAAUGCUUAGGAAUCUGCCUAUUAGUGGGGGACAACAUUCCGAAAGGAAUGCUAAUACCGCAUACGCCCUACGGGGGAAAGCAGGGGAUCUUCGGACCUUGCGCUAAUAGAUGAGCCUAAGUCGGAUUAGCUAGCUGGUGGGGUAAAGGCCUACCAAGGCGACGAUCCGUAGCGGGUCUGAGAGGAUGGUCCGCCACACUGGGACUGGGACACGGCCCAGACUGCUACGGGAGGCAGCAGUGGGGAAUAUUGGACAAUGGGCGGAAGCCUGAUCCAGCCAUGCCGCGUGUGUGAAGAAGGCCUUUUGGUUGUAAAGCACUUUAAGCGAGGAGGAGGCUACUUAGAUUAAUACUCUGGGAUAGUGGACGUUACUCGCAGAAUAAGCACCGGCUAACUCUGUGCCAGCCGCCGCCCGUAA